UACGUAGGGUGCGAGCGUUGUCCGGAAUUAUUGGGCGUAAAGAGCUCGUAGGCGGUGUGUCACGUCGUUCGUGAAAACCUGCAGCUUAACUGUGGGCGUGCGGUCGAUACGGGCAUCACUGGAGUUCGGCAGGGGAGACUGGAAUUCCUGGUGUAGCGGUGAAAUGUGUAGAGAUCGGGAGGAACACCGGUGGCGAAGGCGGGUCUCUGGGCAAUUCCUGACGCUGAGGCGCGAAAGCGUGGGGAGCAAACGGG
rnacentral:rRNA from 1 species